UGGGAGGGGAGAGGGAUGAGACUCUGAGCUGCCUUCCCAUGAGCCCAGUGUGGACCAGGGGUAGGUGGCAGGACAGCCAUGCAGCCCUUUCUAAAGCAUGCUGGCAGAGGCCUUACUAAACAACCCAAGGAGCAGGCAAACAGAUCAACUGAAUCGCAAAAAGGCCGCUCAGCAGUGCCUGAGCUGCCACCAAAUGUGGUCUUCUCGCAAAACACAUGGAGGGAAAUGUGCAAUCCCCUUUCCAAACUUCAGAAGAUUAAAAGGGUAAACACCUCCGAAGUCAACAAAUGAUGCCAUCAGGGCAGGAGAGCCAGGGGGAAACAGGGGAGAAGCGAAAGUGGGGACAAGAGCUAGGAAUUCUGGAAAGAACAGUGCUUGCCAUCAUAGAGAGGCUGCAUAGUGGGUGGUGAAAAGAAAACAAAAAUAUUAAAACCAGCGAGAAGGGCUGUGGGGGAAAAUGAGAAAAUAAAUGAAAGUGGAAGAGGAUUUAAUGAGUUCUGGGAAGAA
rnacentral:lncRNA from 1 species